AGCGGACAUAUCGCGUUAAAACACCGGUUCUAAUACGAUCAUCGAAGUUAGGCAAUAUCGAGCCAGGUUAGCACCUAUAUGGGUGACCACUUGGGAAUAUCAAGUGCUGUAA